GUGCUCGCUUCGGACAGCACAUAUACUAAAAUUGGAACGAUACAGAGAAGAUUAGCAUUGGCCCCUGCACAAGGAUGACACGCAAA
rnacentral:snRNA from 1 species